UUUAGUAAUAAUUAUCAAUGUAGUAUUUUCCCUAUCUAGUCUAGUCUAGUAAUAAUUAUCAAAUUUUGCAAAAAAGUGAAUAAAAGAAACCUAAUACACAGAAAUAUUAAAAGCACACAACAAUGACGGCAUUAAUAAAGUUAGACGUGGCUGAUAAACAGUACCAUCCAUUGUUGCUUUUAUUUAACUUUUGUUUCAACUUUAUUCUUUUAUUAGGCUUUUUAUUUUGUUUUAUCUUCUAUAUGAUGAGUUCAACACUCUGUUCAUCUUAUCC
rnacentral:lncRNA from 1 species